AAGAUGAUGAGAUUAAAAUGCAAGUAAGAUAAAAUUUCUAGAUUAAUAAACAUAACUGGAAUUAAAUUUUUCAGAUUUUAAUAAUGAUGGUUGACAUGAUUUCAAACCCUUUUCUGGUUUUAUCUCCCUUCUGAGAAUAAACUUCUUCAUCUAGGAAAUCCAGAUAUAGAGCUUUCUUUUGAACAGGCUGAAGUAAAGCAUCCUUAGGAGCAGAAAAGGAAUCUUUCCUUCUUUUAUCUGAUUCAAAUAUAGAGGUGCUGGCAAAGCGCCUGCAUUUGACCUCGCCUACGGAAUGAAGAAAUCUAUUCAUCUAUUAGUUUUUAAUGGACGAAAUAGGAGUGAACAAGAAAACUUAUUUUCAUGCUUUUAAAUUGUUAAAUUUAUUUCUUAAUUUCAUCUUAAACAAAAAAUAACAAACUUCUUUGAAAUGUAUUUAGGAUAUCGCUUAUU